AGCCUGCCCACUGAUAAUAGUGUUUUAAAGGGCCGCGGUAAUUUGACCGUGCAAAGGUAGCAUAAUCGUUAGUUUUUUAAUUGGAAUCUUGUAUGAAUGGUUUGACAAAAGAAAAUCUGUCUCUAUCUUUUUCUUUGAAUUUAACUUUUAAGUGAAAAGGCUUAAAUAGUUUAAAAAGACGAUAAGACCCUAUAAAGCUUUAUAAAUUGUUUGUUAUUAAGCUGAAUUGGUAAAUAAUAGUUUAGUAAGGGAAGUUUAUUUUAUUGGGGUGAUAGUGGUAAAAUGUUUAUUAACUGUUAAAAUUUUAAGACAAAUAUAGUUGAGUAAAGUUGUAUAAAUUGAUCCUGAAAUACAGAUUAAAAGUUUAAGUUACUUUAGGGAUAACAGCGUUAUUUUUUUUGAGAGUUCAUAUCGAAAAAAAAGUUUGCGACCUCGAUGUUGAAUUAAAAUGUCUGU
rnacentral:rRNA from 1 species